UUCAAUUCUUUUAAUUGCUCAACCGACAUUCUAUAAGGACGUUUGGAGAUAGGUGCAGUACCAGGUUAAAGAUCAAUAGCAAAUUCAAUUUCACGGUCAGGUGGCAUACCUAGUAAAUCGUCGGGGAACACAUCCGGAAAGUCACACACCACUUUGAUAUCUUCCAAAGAUCUUCCAGCCAACUGAUUAACGGCGCAAUCUGCUACUGAAGGUAGAGUAGCCACAAAUUCAAUUCUUUCCCCUGCUGGGCUUGUGAGAAGAACUGACCUUUUUGCACACUAUAUCACUGCGUCGAACUUGCUCAACCAUCCCAUACCGAGUAUCACAUCA
rnacentral:lncRNA from 1 species